rnacentral:ncRNA from 1 species
CCUUAUUAAGAGCGGUGGAGGGAAUAGGCCCUGAGAAACCCGGCAACCUGGCGCUUUUUAUUAUAUAGAAGUGCCCAAGGUGCCAAAUCCUACAGGAUAAUC